rnacentral:rRNA from 1 species
CUUGCUUCUCUUGAGAGCGGCGGACGGGUGAGUAAUGCCUAGGAAUCUGCCUGGUAGUGGGGGAUAACGUCCGGAAACGGACGCUAAUACCGCAUACGUCCUACGGGAGAAAGCAGGGGACCUUCGGGCCUUGCGCUAUCAGAUGAGCCUAGGUCGGAUUAGCUAGUUGGUGGGGUAAUGGCUCACCAAGGCGACGAUCCGUAACUGGUCUGAGAGGAUGAUCAGUCACACUGGAACUGAGACACGGUCCAGACUCCUACGGGAGGCAGCAGUGGGGAAUAUUGGACAAUGGGCGAAAGCCUGAUCCAGCCAUGCCGCGUGUGUGAAGAAGGUCUUCGGAUUGUAAAGCACUUUAAGUUGGGAGGAAGGGUUGUAAAUUAAUACUCUGCUGUUUUGACGUUACCGACAGAAUAAGCACCGGCUAACUCUGUGCCAGCAGCCGCGGUAAUACAGAGGGUGCAAGCGUUAAUCGGAAUUACUGGGCGUAAAGCGCGCGUAGGUGGUUCGUUAAGUUGGAUGUGAAAUCCCCGGGCUCAACCUGGGAACUGCAUUCAAAACUGACUAACUAGAGUAUGGUAGAGGGUGGUGGAAUUUCCUGUGUAGCGGUGAAAUGCGUAGAUAUAGGAAGGAACACCAGUGGCGAA